rnacentral:tRNA from 1 species
GGGCGGGUGGCGGAAUGGCAGACGCGCUAGUCUUAGGAACUAGUGUAGCAAUACGUGUGGGUUCAAGUCCCACCCCGCCCA